UGGGGAAUAUUGGACAAUGGGCGCAAGCCUGAUCCAGCCAUGCCGCGUGAGUGAUGAAGGCCCUAGGGUUGUAAAGCUCUUUCACCGGUGAAGAUAAUGACGGUAACCGGAGAAGAAGCCCCGGCUAACUUCGUGCCAGCAGCCGCGGUAAUACGAAGGGGGCUAGCGUUGUUCGGAUUUACUGGGCGUAAAGCGCACGUAGGCGGACUAUUAAGUCAGGGGUGAAAUCCCGGGGCUCAACCCCGGAACUGCCUUUGAUACUGGUAGUCUGGAGUUCGAGAGAGGUGAGGGGAAUUGCGGGUGGAGAGGUGAAAGUCGUAGAUAUUCGGGGGAACACCAGGGGCGAAGGCGGCGCACUGGCGCGAUACUGACGCUGAGGUGCGAAAGCGUGGGGAGCAAACAGG
rnacentral:rRNA from 1 species